GAGCGGAAAGGCCCUUCGGGGUACUCGAGCGGCGAACGGGUGAGUAACACGUGAGUAAUCUGCCCUUGACUCUGGGAUAGCUCCGGGUAAACCGGGUAUUAAUACCGGUAUAUGACCAUCUUAGGCAUCUUUGGUGGUGGAAAGUUUUUCGGUCAGGGAUGUGCUCGCGGCCUAUCAGCUUGUUGGUGGGGUAAUGGCCUACCAAGGCGACGACGGGUAGCCGGCCUGAGAGGGCGACCGGCCACACUGGGACUGAGACACGGCCCAGACUCCUACGGGAGGCAGCAGUGGGGAAUAUUGCGCAAUGGGGGAAACCCUGACGCAGCGACGCCGCGUGCGGGAUGAAGGCCUUCGGGUUGUAAACCGCUUUCAGCAGGGACGAAGCGAGAGUGACGGUACCUGCAGAAGAAGCGCCGGCUAACUACGUGCCAGCAGCCGCGGUAAU
rnacentral:rRNA from 1 species